UUGUUACCGAAUUUUUUUCCUCAAAUCCAUCGCCUGUGGUACCCCAACCCCCUCGUUUUACCACAACUAACAGUACGCUCUCGCUUUCUCCCCUCUUUCCAUGGCAGAGUCUUUGCCUAUCUCCAUGACCAUUUUUGGCUAACGAUUCAACUAUUCUUCAGCCAUGGCAGAGUAUUGUCAUACCAUAUUCAGAUCUUUGUUGGCCUUCAGCUGUGACAAAGAUUUUUGUUGGUCUGAUUGUGUCGCUUAGGUGGUGAAGGAGGUUUGAAUCGGAGAUUCGAGUAGUCGUUGGCAAACGCCCCAGUUUACUGCCCUGCAAAAGGUCAGUGACCUCUAACAUUAAGUUCCUCUUUCUGUUAUUAUUAUUUGUUUAUGUUAAAGGCAAAUAAUUAUUUUUGUUUGAAAAUUAGUACUUCACUUCCUAUGUAGAGAUCAUGAUUUAGGACUCAUUUUGUACACAUAAAAGUCAUGUCUAUAGGGAAAUUGUAUUCCAGUCAUGUUUGUCCAAAAACCCAUCACUAAAUGCUUGGUAAAUUGCCUACACAACUAUUUUGUGUGUUUUAUGUUGUUAGUACAUGAUCAACGUUGUUCUUUUGUAAAUGCCAUGCUCAGUUGAUGUUUCAUUUCUAACUUGUUGUUAAGGAUAAACGUAUUAUGUGAAAAAGCUCCUUCUUUCUUAUGAACUUCAAUUGCGUUUAUGAGUAAAAAUGAGUAAUCUUUUAACUCAAGAAUUUGGGAGCGUAAUAUUUGUGGACAGAUUACUAUUUAUCUGUCAAACGUUAAAAAAAGAAAAAAGAAAAAAAAAGAGAAUGCAUUCUGUAAGAGUGUUGGUGUAUCCUGUAUACCUACCAGCAACAGGAGCUUAGGUUCUUUCAUGUCCAGAUAAUCAUGACAAAUAUAAGGUUGUUGCAAAAGUUAAUUGAAUAUGUUGCGAGUAAUUUGUGGAUUUACAUUAUUCAUAAAUAGCAUGCUUAUACGGUUUUGUUGAUGGCUGCAUUUCUUAAGUACUGAAUAGCUUUAAAUCUAUGUAAACUCCUUCGGUUAAAACAAUAGCAGAAAACUUGAUGGUCUCCCCAUAAACCUGAGACCUUAACUUAUGCUCUUUUUGGCCUCUCUCUGUUAAUGGAAGUAUAUUGCUUUAUGAUAAGCACCAUGCUUAGGCUUUUCUUCUUAUUUUUAAAUGCCCAAUAUCACGAUCAUGGGUUUUAAUGAAAUAAUUAGCUUCGGAUAUCCUUUGGCAGUAUUUAGCUAAGAAUGUCCCGUAGAUGAGUGAGUUACACUCGUUAUUUAACAUGCUUAUAGAGGCCUUAUAGAUAGUUCUACUACCCAAGCUCACUUAGAAAGUUAAGCUCUUUGUCAGAACUAUGGUAUAUAAUUCAUCCCUAAGAUAUAUUUUUAUGUAUUAAUAUCUGGACCAAACUAAGCAAGCUAUACUAUCCUUGAUGCCUUCUUUGUCACAAUGAAGUAGAGAUGCUUAUUUGCAUUAUGAUAAUGACAUACAUACUGCAUCUAAGAUUUAUUCACUCAUUUUCUCAUCAUAUAAGAUUUAUUUGCUUACUUAGUAAAGCAUGCCUUAGGGUACCCUGCUUAACUUGUAAUUGCUCCAUCAUAAGUUCUAAAUGAGAAUAAUAGAAAACAUCUGCUUGAAUACUUCGUUAGGGGAUGUUCUUGAAUCAGUGUUAUGAAUCUGAUAGUAUAACAUUCUAACAUGAUGAAUGUAUCUGCUACGUUGUAAGCUUAUAAGUUUAUAGUAUGAUUCGUAAUGUCUUUAUCCUAUGUUUGCUCGGAAACUAAGUUCUUCUAAUUCUUGUUCUAUUCUCUCUUUUGCAUAUGCACUUGGAGCAAAAUGGAGUCUCACUCGAGACUCAACACCGUACCCGAGCAUGGAGUCGACACACAUAUCCACAUCCUUAGAGUGCAUUGAAUAGCGAGAAAACAAGCGAAGUGCUUGGGGAUGCCGAUGGCGUCUUUCUUCUUUCUUUUUCGUUGUUUGUCUUUUAUCGUCUAUGUUGUCUAACUUUAUAAAUUUGGUUGCGUUUGCGUAGUAAAUUCAUCUCCACGUUGAAAAUGGUUAGCAGAAGCUCGUGAUUGACUACCUAUAAA